CUUUGAUAUCUAAUUUGUCAUGGUAUCAUGAGCCUAGGUUUAGGUCAAUAAAUUUUACUGGUACGAUUUCAAAGAGAAAGUUUGGAUUUAUUACUGGUACGAUUGCAGAACCAAUAGACGACAAGGACAGGCUGGCGGACUGGAUAGCUGUUCAUUCAAUGUUGGUAUCCUGGAUAACUGGAACUCUUGAAGAAUCCUUGCGUACAACAGUUGGGGACUUCGAUGAUGCUGGAGCGUUGUGGCAGCAUCUCAAGACACGGUUCUGUGUUGUUAGCGGGACUCGCCUAUGCAAGGAACUCGUGAGUGAUCCGUAGCAGGAUCAAAUUUAUCUUUGUGUGAGUUAUUAUUUAAUCAAGUUUUCAGGAACUUGAUGUGAUGAUGUGACAUUCUUGCAUACGGGAUUAAUGGAGAGUUCACUAGUUAGGAUUUAUUUUUUUCUAAGUUGGUUUCAUUUGUGAGUUCAGAUUUUAGUAUUUUAAUUUCAAGGGUUUAUCGAAUAUACACUAUUAUUAUUUCGAUUAUUAUUAUUCAAUAAAGAAAAGUAUUUUAGUUA